UACGUAGGGUGCGAGCGUUAAUCGGAAUUACUGGGCGUAAAGCGUGCGCAGGCGGUUUUGUAAGGCAGAUGUGAAAGCCCCGGGCUUAACCUGGGAAUGGCAUUUGGGACUGCAAGGCUUGAGUGCGGCAGAGGAGACUGGAAUUCCUGGUGUAGCAGUGAAAUGCGUAGAUAUCAGGAGGAAUACCGAUGGCGAAGGCAGGUCUCUGGGCUGACACUGACGCUCAUGCACGAAAGCGUGGGGAGCGAACAGG
rnacentral:rRNA from 1 species